UACGAAGGGGGCUAGCGUUGUUCGGAAUUACUGGGCGUAAAGGGCGCGUAGGCGGCCUGGCAAGUCGGGGGUGAAAGCCUGUGGCUCAACCACAGAAUGGCCUUCGAUACUGCUGGGCUUGAGACCGGAAGAGGUCAGUGGAACUGCGAGUGUAGAGGUGAAAUUCGUAGAUAUUCGCAAGAACACCAGUGGCGAAGGCGGCUGACUGGUCCGGUUCUGACGCUGAGGCGCGAAAGCGUGGGGAGCAAACAGG
rnacentral:rRNA from 1 species